AAUCAUCAAAAGCCUUUUUCUUUGAUCCCUCUGGGUCGGGAAAAGGAUUUUGGACUUGGAGGUUCCAUGCCCGCUUUCUUUCGAAAGCGAGCUCCUCUCAAAUGAAUUAGUGGGGUCCGCUUUGCCGAUCCUUGACGUGAUAAGAUGCUUCUACGUUUUGGAUUUGGCACUGUCCCUUGGACGCCUGCUCCCAACUGUCUCAUGGACAAUGAUGGUGCUCCGGUCACUGCCGUCUACACUGGCGGUGGGAGGCCGGACCCACGAAAAGAAAA
rnacentral:misc_RNA from 1 species